CCCCGAACGUGUACGUGUGUAUGAGGCAUGAAAGGCUGUACACGCCGAAGAAGUAGCUUCCUUACGUUUGGUUGAUAUUUAUAGUUGUACACGCAUGUAGCAGUAUGUGAUGGUAGUGUACACGAUUUAUAGUGGUACACGCAAAAGACUUCGUAACAACUUGUUAGUAAGUUGUACGAGUAGAUGUGUACGAGUCAGUUGGUAGUCUUGACAGGUGAAUACAGUAGGUGUCCAUGUGCAUGGGAACAUUUCCCCUUGAUAUUUGAGACAGUAGACGGAGAGUCCGGUCUGUACAUGUGUACGAGGAGUUGAAUGACCCUGUCUGUACACGAGAGAGUAGUAUCCUUGCGUUUGGAAAUGAUCUCGGAGGAGUACAUGACAUUUUUUAAGAAGUGUGAAAGUAGAUGGGAUAUUGGGGGAAUGAGGAACUUAAUUUGUGUACAUGAUUUAUAUGUGUAC
rnacentral:lncRNA from 1 species